rnacentral:rRNA from 1 species
GUGAAGCCUAGCUUGCUGGGUGGAUCAGUGGCGAACGGGUGAGUAACACGUGAGCAACCUGCCCUCCACUUCGGGAUAAGCCUUGGAAACGGGGUCUAAUACCGGAUAUGAGCUCGCAUCGCAUGGUGUGGGUUGGAAAGUUUUUCGGUGGGGGAUGGGCUCGCGGCCUAUCAGCUUGUUGGUGGGGUGAUGGCCUACCAAGGCGUCGACGGGUAGCCGGCCUGAGAGGGCGACCGGCCACACUGGGACUGAGACACGGCCCAGACUCCUACGGGAGGCAGCAGUGGGGAAUAUUGCACAAUGGGCGCAAGCCUGAUGCAGCGACGCCGCGUGAGGGAUGACGGCCUUCGGGUUGUAAACCUCUUUCAGCAGGGAAGAAGCGCAAGUGACGGUACCUGCAGAAGAAGCGCCGGCUAACUACGUGCCAGCAGCCGCGGUAAUACGUAGGGCGCAAGCGUUGUCCGGAAUUAUUGGGCGUAAAGAGCUCGUAGGCGGUCUGUCGCGUCUGGUGUGAAAUCCCGAGGCUCAACCUCGGGCUUGCAUCGGGUACGGGCAGACUAGAGUGCGGUAGGGGAGACUGGAAUUCCUGGUGUAGCGGUGGAAUGCGCAGAUAUCAGGAGGAACACCGAUGGCGAAGGCAGGUCUCUGGGCCGCAACUGACGCUGAGGAGCGAAAGCAUGGGGAGCAAACAGGAUUAGAUACCCUGGUAGUCCAUGCCGUAAACGUUGGGCACUAGGUGUGGGGCUCAUUCCACGAGUUCCGUGCCGCAGCUAACGCAUUAAGUGCCCCGCCUGGGGAGUACGGCCGCAAGGCUAAAACUCAAAGGAAUUGACGGGGGCCCGCACAAGCGGCGGAGCAUGCGGAUUAAUUCGAUGCAACGCGAAGAACCUUACCAAGGCUUGACAUGUACGAGAAAGCCCCCGAGACGGGGUUCUCUUUGGACACUCGUACACAGGUGGUGCAUGGUUGUCGUCAGCUCGUGUCGUGAGAUGUUGGGUUAAGUCCCGCAACGAGCGCAACCCUCGUCCUAUGUUGCCAGCGGGUUAUGCCGGGGACUCAUGGGAGACUGCCGGGGUCAACUCGGAGGAAGGUGGGGAUGACGUCAAAUCAUCAUGCCCCUUAUGUCUUGGGCUUCACGCAUGCUACAAUGGCCGGUACAGAGGGCUGCGAUACCGUAAGGUGGAGCGAAUCCCAAAAAGCCGGUCUCA